GCCCACGUAGCUCAGUCUGGAAGAGCACCAGUUUCGUAAACUGGGGGCCGAGGGUUCAAAUCCCUCCGUGGGCU
rnacentral:tRNA from 1 species